rnacentral:sRNA from 1 species
AUUUACCUGCGUUAGGGAUUGAAGCGAAAAGCCCACAGCGAUCCCGAUAUUUAUCGGGAGCGCGAGGACUUGUAGAGGAAAGCCCGACCCGAU